rnacentral:rRNA from 1 species
GAUGAACGCUGGCGGCGUGCCUAAUACAUGCAAGUCGAGCGAACAGACGAGGAGCUUGCUCCUCUGACGUUAGCGGCGGACGGGUGAGUAACACGUGGAUAACCUACCUAUAAGACUGGGAUAACUUCGGGAAACCGGAGCUAAUACCGGAUAAUAUAUUGAACCGCAUGGUUCAAUAGUGAAAGACGGUUUUGCUGUCACUUAUAGAUGUAUCCGCGCCGCAUUAGCUAGUUGGUAAGGUAACGGCUUACCAAGGCAACGAUGCGUAGCCGACCUGAGAGGGUGAUCGGCCACACUGGAACUGAGACACGGUCCAGACUCCUACGGGAGGCAGCAGUAGGGAAUCUUCCGCAAUGGGCGAAAGCCUGACGGAGCAACGCAGCGUGAGUGAUGAAGGUCUUCGGAUCGUAAAACUCUGUUAUUAGGGAAGAACAAAUGUGUAAGUAACUAUGCACGUCUUGACGGUACCUAAUCAGAAAGCCACGGCUAACUACGUG